UUAUCCCUGCUAUUCCAUGGCAGCCCAUAAUAAGAUGUUCCAGUUUUUCUCAACAAAUUGGUAAUUGUCGACAACAACCUUCUGGCAAUAACAAAUGCAAUUCACAUUAAGAUCCCUGCAAUUUCUAACAUAUUGCUAUUUCAAAUCUGUUCCCUUUAACAAAGUAAGGGUCCAGAUUACUUAGCAACUAUGAGUCUAUGACUGAUAUAUGCAUAUAUUGAUUUCUACCAAAUUAUUGUGCAGCCUAUGCUAUAUCAAUGACCCUUUUACACUGCAUAUUUUAUUGAGAGGAAGCACUAAUUGACACUGUUAGUUUUCUCAGUGCUACUAACAAGAUAAGUUUUCUAAUUACAUUGAUUUUGCUUCCACGUUUCAUUAAACUUUCUAUGUUUUGGAUUGCUGCUUUUUGGUUUCUUGUUAUGGCACCUAAAGGCUAAAGGAUGACAAGAAAAAUGAAGGCUCGAGAAAGUGAUCAUAGCUCAGCAAAUAUAAUGAAAAGCUUAUCAAGUAAGGGAGAUAUGGGAGAAAUGAAGAAUGAUCAGACUAUAGAUAUGGGAGCAACUAGAACGACUAUUUUUUGGAAAAUGUUCCAACAGCAACUGUAACCAAGUUAAACUUAAACUUGGAUAGCCUAUUUCUUGAACGCUACUAUAAUGGAAAAUGCUGCCAGCUGCUAUCGAUAUUGGAAACUUUGAUAAGAUCUCAAAGAUUGGGCAUGAUCUAAUUUAUCUUUUGUUUUAGAUGUUCUGUAGUGAUGAUAUUGAAAACAAUUAUGUCUUUUA